GCCUGGGUGGCUCAGUCGGUUGAGCGUCCGACUUCGGCUCAGGUCAUGAUCUCACAGUUUGUGGGUUCAAGCCCCGCAUCAGGCU
rfam:Felis catus isolate Cinnamon breed Abyssinian chromosome B2, whole genome shotgun sequence.